GAGUAAAGACUGCCAAACUACAGCUGGUAGAACAGCAAGUCUAACUGUUCCUUGGUGAGGAGUCUUCUGAGCUCAUGAACAAGCAUUCCUGGAGAUGACUAGGCCUAGAAACCUACUGCAGAAGCCUUCUGGGGACCAGGAACUUGGCUGUCUGAAAGCCAAAGGAUGAGCUCUGUCCCUUGCUGCAGUAUUUCUUUAUAUUUUGUGCUUGGUAGGGAAUGUUGAGUGACUGCACACUGGAUUCUGGGAACCUUUCUUCAUAGGAAAAGGGACUGUGGGGCCUGAGCCUAGGUGCUGGACUUUGGCUGCCAGAUGGUACUUGUACAUCAUCUGCUACUGUAGUGCAAAUUCAGAGCUGGCUGGAUCUAAGGUUGUGGGUAUAUGUUACCAGAUAGACCUCAGCCCACUCACUGGAGGGAGGUGUUUAAUGGGGAUUGGUACAUCAGGUGAACCUGGUGGCCUCUAGAAUAUCUUCCAAUCUGAGAUUGUCCUCAGUGCAUGUGCCCUUGCAGUUCUUGGUUUUUGGUGGCAAUGUGAGAGUGGCAUUCUCUCACUCUAAUAAACUUGGCACUUCUUUCAGUGUUUUCUUCUCAGAUUACUUAGUACUCACUGAACCAAGUUUACAAUGCAGAGUCUCAUAAGAACUCCAGCCUAUAUGGCAGUGUUAUGAAAAAACAUACAUGUACAGAUAAUAUCGCCUACUAGCUUCU
rnacentral:lncRNA from 1 species